rnacentral:rRNA from 1 species
GCAUUAAGAGGAUACCUAAACAUCAAAAAAAUUAAAAUGGACGUGUACUUACGAAAAGUUACAGCGAGUUUUUCGACUGCGAACUGUAAAUUUCCAUGCCAAAAAAUUGGACUUAAAUGAAAUAAGUUAAGCACUGUUUAAAAAACAGUGUUUUUUAAAAUUUAGUGAACUGAAUCAUCUCAGUAGCUAAAAAGAAAAAUCAACCGAGAAUCCGUUAGUAGUGGCGAGCGAAAAUGGAUAAGACUUACUGAAAAAAUUAACGAAAAACAUUUAAUAAGUAUAAAAAGCCAUAGAAGGAUAAAGCCCUGUAAAAUAGUUUUUGAUUUAUUAAUUUUUUAGUUUUAGUAUGAUAAAACAAGUGAUGUUUUGUCAAAAAACUGGGGUACCACCCUCAAGUCUAAAAAAAUUUGAUGAUUGAUAGAGAACUAGUACCGUGAGGGAAUGGUGAAAAAGAAUUUCUAAUAGUAAAAUUUAAAAGAUUUUGAAACUUAAUGCUGACAAUCAGUUGUAGCUUAAAAAAGUGUCAGCGUACCUUUUGCAUAAUGGAUCAACGAGUUUAUUUAAGUGGCAAGCUUAAACUAUUAAAAUGUGUAGGCGUAAGUAAAUUAAGUUUUAAAAAGCUAUUAAGUCUCUUAAAUAAGACCCGAAACUAAGUGAUCUAACCAUGAGCAGGUUGAAUUUAUUGCGGUAACGCAUAUUGGAGGACCGAACCCGUGUAUGUAGAAAAAUACUGGGAUGACUUGUGGUUAGGGGUGAAAGGCCAAUCAAACUUAGAGAUAGCUGGUUUUCUGCGAAAUCUAUUUAAGUAGAGCAAUUAAUUUUAAAACUUUAUUUUAUGGUAGAGCACUUGAUAAAUUAAGGGGGUGUAAAACUUUACUGAAUUUAUUAAAACUCCGAAUGUAAAAUAAAAGAUUUUAAUUAGACAGACUGUGAAUGCUAAGGUUCAUAGUCUAGAGGGAAACAGCCCAGACUAAUCGUUAAGGUCCCUAAAAAUGAUUAAGUGAAAAAUUUGUUAGAUAUUUAAUACAAUUUGUAGGUAGGCUUGGAAGCAGCCAUCCUUUAAAGAAAGCGUAACAGCUCACAAAUUUAGGUAUUUUGCAUAGAAAAUGUAUAAGGACUAAAAUCAUUUACCGAAACGGUAGAUUUAGAGUUAUAAAAUUCUUUAAAUGGUAGCAGAACGUUCUGUAAAUCUAAGAAAAUACAUGGUGACAUGUAUUUGAGAUAUCAGAAGCGAAAAUGUUGAUAUGAGUAGCGAUAAACAACGUGCAAAACGUUGUCGUCUUAAGUUCAAGGUUUCCAAGGGAAGGCUAAUCCACCUUGGGUUAAUCGGACCCUAAGAAUUAAACGAAAGUUGAUAUUUAAUGGGUAAACCAGAUUUAAAUAUGAAAAUUUCUGAGUAUUUUAAAGAAAAGUGACAGAAUAUGAAAAUUAUUUUUAUUGUAUACGGUUUAAAUAAAAGUUUUUUAUUAUUUUCAAGAAAUAGCUUUUCUAUAAAACAAAACCGUACCCUAAACCGACACAGGUGAACACAUUUAGUAAAUGAAGACGUUUGAGAGAAUUGUGUUGAAGGAACUCGGCAAAAUUGCUCCGUAACUUAGGGAUAAGGAGUGGCGUAUUCCGGGAAACCGGAAUACGCUGUCACAAAAUCGAGGACAGCGACUGGUUAAUAAAACCACAGGUCUCUGCUAAUUUGUAAAAAGAAGUAUAGAGACUGACGCCUGCCCGGUGCUGCAAGAUUAAUAGAAAAAGUAUUUGCUUUGACUAGAAACCCCAGUAAACGGCGGCUGUAACUCUGACGGUCCAAAGGUAGCGAAAUUCCUUGGCAUUUAAUUGGUGUCCUGCAUGAAUGGCGUAACGACUGUCCUACUGUCUCCAACACAAUCUCAGUGAAAUUGAAUUCUCCGUGAAGAUGCGGAGUUCCUGCGGCUAGACGGAAAGACCCCGUGCACCUUUACUAUAGUUAUAUAUUGUAAUAAAAAAUUUUAUGUGUAGCAUAUGUGGGAAGCUGUUAAAAUAUUCUUAUGCAAAUAAGUUAUAGAAGCAAACGUGAAAUACCACUC